AACUUUUUUUGGUUUGGACAAAAAAAUUUGAAAAAAUUCUCAAAAAUGUUUUUCAAAGCAUAGAAUGAUAGAGUUUCAGCUAAAUCUAAAUUCCUUAAGGGGUCGAGUUCAAAAGUGGUCGAUUUGGCAUGGAAUACCCCAUAUUAUACAAUAUAAUGGAGGUUCCUUUCCUGUUCGGCACCUUGAAGAAUGCCUUUGAGAGUCACCAUGAUGUUAAUAAUUAACCAAGAUUUAAGGAGAGAAGGAGAGGAUACCUGAGAAAGAUGCUGAGUUUGUGUGUUGGAUGUUGGAUGUUGUGAGUCACCUCGGCGAAUAGAGCAACGGGUCUGUAUACUACAGCGUAGUAUAGCAUAGAUGCCAAAUGCCAAGUUGCUGUAAGCCGGCCACAUGGUGAUUCGUGAAAAAUAAAAGAAUCUUUGAAGAAUAAUUACGUUGAUGAUAAUAUAGCAAGAAUGUCUUUAAAAUAACGAUUACAUAAAACCAAAAAUCCUCGAGGACUUUCUUGCCAAUAAAACCUACUCUGAGACUAAUAAAUUCCAGUAAUAUGACCUCCAGCGGCUGGUUUGGUCUACGGAAGAUCUUGUAAUAUAAAAACUUACGUUAUAAUAUCCUUGAACCUCGAAAACCCGUAGGACAUGAUUACCGAGUUCGAGAAAGGUCCCUUUCCGGUAAUUUCACCGUUUCUAUUAGCUAAAAAAAGGUGUAUUGUUUUUUCGAGAUCGUAAAUCAACUGUGACGAUCCACAAAACUAUCGCAUAGACUAUUAGGAAAAAAGUAGCCCGAAGAAAGAGAUAAGAGGGCUGAAAAAAAGAAAAAGCCGAUUUCGAGUAUAGAAAUAAAUUUUUUAUGCCCAGCAAAGAUUAUUACACCUCGAGUAAAACAAAAUAGUGAACUGCUGGCAGUCGGCGACGUUGAUGACUUGGUGGAAACUUUUCUAAUCGCGUCAUGGAACUCCUAAUCAAUUAUCCAUGCUGGAAGAUUUGACGCUACCGUCAUUUCGUAAUCAAUUUGGUGGGUACCGUUCUACGGUUAUUUUUAAGACCGCUUUUUUACGUCGGACCUAUCGAUAAAAAAAUGACAAGAAUCAGAGUGGAGAAAAAAAUAAAUAAUAAAUAAAUAAAUAAAAAGGAUCAGUCGUUGUAAAGUACGAUCGUCAUUGCAGGUUCCCAUCCAUUACGUGUAUACCACAAUAUUACUUGUACAAACUAGCAUUUUUCCAGUUUCGCUACGCUGUACAACUCGCGUUCAUUCACCUCCGCUUUGUGUGAGCCUGUGGGCCAUAUUAACGAAUGAACGAACGCCGGAAUAGACGCGGUGUCUUUUCCAAGAGCUAACUUGGUUAUUAC